rnacentral:rRNA from 1 species
UACGGGGGGAGCAAGCGUUGUUCGGAUUUACUGGGCGUAAAGGGCGCGUAGGCGGCACCGCAAGUCGAUUGUGAAAUCUCCGGGCUUAACCCGGAAAGGUCAGCCGAUACUGCGGGGCUAGAGUGCAGAAGGGGCAACUGGAAUUCUCGGUGUAGCGGUGAAAUGCGUAGAUAUCGAGAGGAACACCUGCGGCGAAGGCGGGUUGCUGGGCUGACACUGACGCUGAUGUGCGAAAGCUAGGGGAGCGAACGGG